rnacentral:rRNA from 1 species
CCUACGGGAGGCAGCAGUGGGGAAUAUUGCACAAUGGGGGGAACCCUGAUGCAGCAACGCCGCGUGGGUGAAGCAGUACUUCGGUAUGUAAAGCCCUGUCAGCAGGGAAGAAAAUGACGGUACCUGUACAAGAAGCCACGGCUAACUACGUGCCAGCAGCCGCGGUAAUACGUAGGGGGCAAGCGUUAUCCGGAUUUACUGGGUGUAAAUGGAGCGUAGACGGGAAGGCAAGUGUGGAGUGAAAGCCCGUGGCUCAACCACGGGACUGCUUUGGAAACUGUGUUGCUGGAGUGCAGGAGAGGUAAGCGGAAGUCCUAGUGUAGCGGUGAAAUGCGUAGAUAUUAGGAGGAACACCGGUGGCGAAGGCGGCUUACUGGACUGUAACUGACGUUGAGGCUCGAAGGCGUGGGGAGCAAACAGGAUUAGAUACCCUUGUAGUC